GGGGACUAGUAUGAAUGGCAUCACGAGGGUUAUACUGUCUCCUUUUUCUAAUCAGUGAAACUAAUCUCCCCGUGAAGAAGCGGGGUUAAAAUUAUAAGACGAGAAGACCCUAUGGAGCUUUAAAUUUCCACUCAAAUGCUUACCAACCUUUAUACUUCUUAGUACUAUUAAAAACUAUCUUAGCAUUAUGAGCCAAAAUUUUAGGUUGGGGUGACCGCGGAGUACAAAAUAACCUCCACAUUGAAACAGGCUUUUAAACCCUGAGCAGCGGACAACAAUCCUAUGCACUAAAAAACUAACAUCCAUUGACCCAAGUUUUUGAUCAACGAACCAAGUUACCCUAGGGAUAACAGCGCAAUCCUCUUCAAGAGUUCCUAUCGCCAAGAGGGUUUACGACCUCGAUGUUGGAUCAGGGUAUCCCAGUGGUGCAGCCGCUACUAAUGGUUCGUUUGUUCAACGAUUAAAACCCU
rnacentral:rRNA from 1 species